rnacentral:rRNA from 1 species
GUGGGGAAUCUUAGACAAUGGGGGAAACCCUGAUCUAGCCAUGCCGCGUGAGCGAUGAAGGCCUUAGGGUUGUAAAGCUCUUUCAGCUGGGAAGAUAAUGACGGUACCAGCAGAAGAAGCCCCGGCUAACUCCGUGCCAGCAGCCGCGGUAAUACGGAGGGGGCUAGCGUUGUUCGGAAUUACUGGGCGUAAAGCGCACGUAGGCGGAUCAGAAAGUCAGAGGUGAAAUCCCAGGGCUCAACCUUGGAACUGCCUUUGAAACUCCUGGUCUUGAGGUCGAGAGAGGUGAGUGGAAUUCCGAGUGUAGAGGUGAAAUUCGUAGAUAUUCGGAGGAACACCAGUGGCGAAGGCGGCUCACUGGCUCGAUACUGACGCUGAGGUGCGAAAGCGUGGGGAGCAAACAGGAUUAGAUACCGAGUAGUCC